rnacentral:rRNA from 1 species
UUUGAUCUGGCUCAGAACGACGCUGGCGGCAUGCCUAACACAUGCAAGUCGAACGAGACCUUCGGGUCUAGUGGCGCACGGGUGCGUAACGCGUGGGAAUCUGCCCUUGGUUCGGAAUAACAGCGAGAAAUUGCUGCUAAUACCGGAUAAUGACGUAAGUCCAAAGAUUUAUCGCCAAGGGAUGAGCCCGCGUAGGAUUAGCUAGUUGGUGUGGUAAAGGCGCACCAAGGCGACGAUCCUUAGCUGGUCUGAGAGGAUGAUCAGCCACACUGGGACUGAGACACGGCCCAGACUCCUACGGGAGGCAGCAGUGGGAAGUAUUGGACAAUGGGCGAAAGCCUGAUCCAGCAAUGCCGCGUGAGUGAUGAAGGCCUUAGGGUUGUAAAGCUCUUUUACCCGGGAUGAUAAUGACAGUACCGGGAGAAUAAGCUCCGGCUAACUCCGUG